UUGCUGUGAUGACCAUCUUAGGACACCUUUGGAAUUGACCAUGAAAACACCUUUUAGUCUGAGCAAC
ensembl:snoRNA SNORD58 Small nucleolar RNA SNORD58